CGCGGGAAUAGAGCAACGGUGGCUCGCUGGUUUCAUACGCCACAACCGGCAGGUUCAACUCCUGCUCCCGCAACCA
rnacentral:tRNA from 2 species